AUACUUACCUGGCAGGGGAGAUACCAUGAUCACGAAUGUGAUUCACCCAGGGUGAGGCCCAGCCACUGCACUGCGGCUCUGCUGACACAUGCCAGUUCCCCAAAUGUGGGAGUCUCCACUGCAUAAUGUCUGGUAGUGGGGGACUGCGUUCAGGCUCUGCCCUG